rnacentral:ncRNA from 1 species
AUAAUAUGAUGAAUUUUUUUUUUUUUUAAAGAAAACAAUGACACCAAGCAGGAUGGUGACCAUGGAAGUUGGAAUCUGCUAAGGAGUGUUUAAGAACUCAUCUGCCGAAUCAACUCAUCCUGCAAAUAGAUGGCACUGGAGCAUUCAGUGAAUAC